UACAGUAGCUACCAUCAGGCACUACUGUAAUCCCAGUUUAUAGAACUGUGCCUGGCACUGAGUGUUCAACAAAUAUUUGUUGAAGGCAUGAAUGAAUGAUUCUCUUGACAAGGUGUCUGGGGGAGCUAUGAAAAGAAAAGGGCUGAACAGCCAUGAUGGAGCAGAUGGAAGUCAGUCCUGGAGGCCCACUCUCACCCCACACCAGGCAGCUCUAACUCACAGAGCCCCCAAUGCACAUUUUGCCACCUGUCUGUGCUUGACUCUGGCCCCACACUGUGCUGGCUCUCAGAUUCUCCCCCUUAUGAAUGUCCUGCUCUGCCCUGCUUUACUUCAAAGGAUGCUGAACACUCCAGAGCCCAGGAAAACUGGGUUAGCUAUUAGCAAACCCUUUGUCCAUGAGGCCUAAGCAGAAGCUGAGCUACCAAAGUCCUCACAGGAUUAUUAUAAGAGGAAAAGAGAUAAAGUGCUUGCAAACAACACCAACAGAAAGUAGGAAAAGUGCUACAGAAUUAUCUGGAUUGUUGGGCACUACUGACCACCAGACGGAGCUCAGCCGCCUCUACUGCUGUUUUCAUUGAUGCCUUGAGCAGACCUGGCAUGUGCAACUGCUGAGAAGGUGGGGGGGAGCGUGGAGCCGCGGGGGAAGCAAGUAAAAAUAGCCUGGCGCGCACCGCUCUGCCUGCUCUGGACGCCUUUAACCCUGGCCAAGGUGGGGAGCUCAGCAGCCACUACAGCACACUGCUGAAUCUGACAGGGGUCUGCAUCCAGACCCCGUGCAACAGCUGGGGUGCGGGGGCUUAGAGACCUGUGAAAACUUUUUUUUUUAGAAACCCAGAAGUGGGGGGAGGGAAGAGCAGGAGAAAGCUGUUUCUUGCUUCUAGCACUCCAGCCACCUGGCUGCAGGGACUGCUAUGUGCCCACUGGUCCAACACUUUACAGAAGUGCAGCCUUGACUCGGAGCUAUUUUUAGCAACCUCUUCCGCGGGUGG